UACCUGCAGCUCGAGUGGUAACCGCUAUUAUUGGGCCUAAAGCGUCCGUAGCCGGUUUGGUAAAUAUCUGGGUAAAUCGUGAGGCUUAACUUCACGAAUUUCGGAUAGACUGCCAGACUUGGGAUCGGGGGAGGUCAGAGGUACUCCAGGGGUAGCGGUGAAACGUUGUAAUCCUUGGAGGACCACCGGUAGCGAAGGCGUCUGACUAGAACGAGUCCGACGGUGAGGGACGAAGCCCUGGGGCGCAAACCGGAUUAGAUACCCGGGUAGUCCAGGGUGUAAACGAUGUGGGCUUUGUAUUGGAGGUCCCACGUGGGCGUCCAGUGCAGAAGAGAAGUUGUUAAGCCCACCGCCUGGGAAGUACGGUCGCAAGGCUGAAACUUAAAGGAAUUGGCGGGGGAGCACAGCAACGGGAGGAGCGUGCGGUUU
rnacentral:rRNA from 1 species